UACGUAGGGUGCAAGCGUUAAUCGGAAUUACUGGGCGUAAAGCGUGCGCAGGCGGUGAUGUAAGACAGGUGUGAAAUCCCCGGGCUUAACCUGGGAACUGCAUUUGUGACUGCAUCGCUGGAGUGCGGCAGAGGGGGAUGGAAUUCCGCGUGUAGCAGUGAAAUGCGUAGAUAUGCGGAGGAACACCGAUGGCGAAGGCAAUCCCCUGGGCCUGCACUGACGCUCGUGACGAAAGCGUGGGGAGCAAACAGGG
rnacentral:rRNA from 1 species